UACGUAGGGUGCAAGCGUUAAUCAGAAUUACUGGGCGUAAAGCGUGCGCAGGCGGUUUUGUAAGUCUGACGUGAAAUCCCCGGGCUCAACCUGGGAAUUGCGUUGGAGACUGCAAGGCUUGAAUCUGGCAGAGGGGGGUAGAAUUCCACGUGUAGCAGUGAAAUGCGUAGAGAUGUGGAGGAACACCGAUGGCGAAGGCAGCCCCCUGGGUCAAGAUUGACGCUCAUGCACGAAAGCGUGGGGAGCAAACAGG
rnacentral:rRNA from 1 species